rnacentral:rRNA from 1 species
AACGAACGCUGGCGGCAUGCCUAACACAUGCAAGUCGAACGAGACCUUCGGGUCUAGUGGCGCACGGGUGCGUAACGCGUGGGAACCUGCCCUUAGGUUCGGAAUAACUCCCCGAAAGGGGUGCUAAUACCGGAUAAUGUCUUCGGACCAAAGAUUUAUCGCCUUUGGAUGGGCCCGCGUUGGAUUAGCUAGUUGGUAGGGUAAAAGCCUACCAAGGCUACGAUCCAUAGCUGGUCUGAGAGGAUGAUCAGCCACACUGGGACUGAGACACGGCCCAGACUCCUACGGGAGGCAGCAGUGGGGAAUAUUGGAAAAUGGGCGAAAGCCUGAUCCAGCAAUGCCGGGUGAGUGAUGAAGGCCUUAGGGUUGUAAAGCUCUUUUACCCGGGAUGAUAAUGACGGUACCGGGAGAAUAAGCACCGGCUAACUCCGUG